UAGCGUAUAUAACAGCCCGAGAGCCACAAUUCUUUCUCUUCCUCUCAAGUCUUCAGCAAAGAGAAGGAAACGCAAAGCCCGACCUCCGGAGCAACCUAAAUCGUUAAAAGGAGCUGACUUACUGGCCUCUCAACCAUGGAUAUCUAUGGCAGGUACUGGACAUUGAAGAUGGAAGCACGAUACAUGAGGAUGACUAGAUCAUUUACAGGUGACCCUCAUGGCUGACUCUGAAGUGACUGGAUGAGUACGUCUCAUAUCAGGAAUCAAUUGAUGCAUUUCAAUCUGGUAUCCUUGAGCUGCAUGGGCUCUUUACCUUCCUGUCAAGGCCGAUGACAUGUUGGAGCAGCCUAAAGGGCCGUGUCUUCCGGGCCCACAACAGCCACAGCAGAGGGAGAACAUGGGGAUGUGGUGGUGUGGGACUGACUACACUACUGGGAUGUGUUCCUUCUCCAUGAUGUCAAUAAGAAAUAAAAUAAAAUGAAAACCACUUUUGGAAUCCUUUUUUACUUGAGUAUUGCAUUACAUGGUUAGGAAAACUAUAAAUGGUAAUUCCAGUGGCAGGACAUUUACAAUAAGGCCAGUGUAGAAGACAAAUCUGGUUCCUGAGUAGGUUUUCAAAGUUUGUGUAGUUAAAGCUAUUGUAGAAAUUGCCGUACCACUGUACAUAAAAACCUGCUUCAAUUGUGGUAAAGUUACAAGUGCCUCUGUAACCCAGAUGCCAAACUUUAGAAAACAUACUUAACAGAAUGUUACAUAAAAUGACAUUUGGCCCAUGUCAACAUGGGGUUUGACCUAUACAGCAUCAAAAGUUUAUGAAUCCAAAAACCAAAUUUAAGCACCAGUGAAAUCUUAAUACUGUACUGUUUGCAGGUGUGACACAAGUAUUUAACUCUGGCUCAUGUUAAAAUUAAAUGAACGUUUUAUUGUAUGGUGCACUCCUGUUAUUCAUUUGAGAUGGAAGGCAAUUUCAAUUCUGAUAUCUCAGAGUCUGGGCUGCUGCUUCCGCUUCGAUCGCUGUAUGUAUCCCUGUGUCAAAGAAUUUUACAGUCAUUCAUCUGGUAUUAUGGAACUAAGUAUACUAUAUACAGCAAAUGUGAAAUGUGAUGCUGCAUGUUUACCGUGGAGACAGACGGCAGCCCUUCUGUAAGUAGCUCUGCAGCUUCCCGGCUGCAGCCAGCAGCAAACCAAGAUACGGGGGUGAAGGCUUCAUGGGGCGAGAAGUGAACUCUGGGUGAUACU